rnacentral:rRNA from 1 species
AACGAAGCGCUUUAUUCAGAUUCUUUCGGGAUGAUGAAUUUAGUGACUUAGUGGCGGACGGGUGAGUAACGCGUGGGUAACCUGCCUUACACAGGGGGAUAACAGUUAGAAAUGACUGCUAAUACCGCAUAAAACAGCAGCACCGCAUGGUGCAACUGUCAAAGAUUUAUCGGUGUAAGAUGGACCCGCGUCUGAUUAGCCAGUUGGUGGGGUAACGGCCUACCAAAGCGACGAUCAGUAGCCGACCUGAGAGGGCGACCGGCCACAUUGGGACUGAGACACGGCCCAAACUCCUACGGGAGGCAGCAGUGGGGAAUAUUGGACAAUGGGCGAAAGCCUGAUCCAGCGACGCCGCGUGAGCGAUGAAGUAUUUCGGUAUGUAAAGCUCUAUCAGCAGGGAAGAAAAUGACGGUACCUGACUAAGAAGCCCCGGCUAGCUACGUGCCAGCAGCCGCGGUAAUACGUAGGGGGCAAGCGUUAUCCGGAUUUACUGGGUGUAAAGGGAGCGUAGACGGAAGUGCAAGUCAGAAGUGAAAGCCCGGGGCUUA